rnacentral:rRNA from 1 species
AUUGAACGCUGGCGGCAGGCCUAACACAUGCAAGUCGAGCGGUAGAGAGGUGCUUGCAUCUCUUGAGAGCGGCGGACGGGUGAGUAAUGCCUAGGAAUCUGCCUAGUGGUGGGGGAUAACGUUCGGAAACGGACGCUAAUACCGCAUACGUCCUACGGGAGAAAGCGGGGGGAUCCUCGGACCUCGCGCCAUUAGAUGAGCCUAGGUCGGAUUAGCUAGUUGGUGAGGUAAUGGCUCACCAAGGCGACGAUCCGUAACUGGUCUGAGAGGAUGAUCAGUCACACUGGAACUGAGACACGGUCCAGACUCCUACGGGAGGCAGCAGUGGGGAAUAUUGGACAAUGGGCGAAAGACCUGAUCCAGCCAUGCCGCGUGUGUGAAGAAGGUCUUCGGAUUGUAAAGCACUUUAAG